rnacentral:rRNA from 1 species
AGGUUGAACGCUGGCGGCAGGCCUAACACAUGCAAGUCGAGCGGCAGCACGGGUACUUGUACCUGGUGGCGAGCGGCGGACGGGUGAGUAAUGCCUAGGAAUCUGCCUGAUAGUGGGGGAUAACGUUCGGAAACGGACGCUAAUACCGCAUACGUCCUACGGGAGAAAGUGGGGGAUCUUCGGACCUCACGCUAUCAGAUGAGCCUAGGUCGGAUUAGCUUAGUUGGUAAGGGUAAAGGCCU